ensembl:lncRNA
CUUUAGUGCUAAACAUGUAGUCCCCAAAGCUGAUUUAUAGAAAGAUAAUAACAUCCAUUAUACCAACCGAAGUUACACCCAGUCUCAAAUAAGAGUAUUCUUAGCUGUGGCAUUCACACGAUCGAUCAGAGACGGUGUCAAAAAGCACAAUCGAGAGUGACUCCAAGUUACUACUGGCUGGCCCGUAACCUACUUGAUAAAUCUUGUCAUCUGCAAUCAAAGAAAAAACUAAGCAAAGAAAUCUUGCACAGCUAUUUUAUUCUACUGAAAUUAAGGUAAGAAAACCAAUUAUUAUAUUUUGUGGCCUGAACAUAACAGCAUAAUCAUGAGUUGACAGAGAAAAUAAUAUGUAUUAAGGAUUACAGUCAGGUGUCGGUGCAACUGGCCAAUGGGAAUCCUGCGAAAUAUAGUAGUUAAAAAAUUGUUAAAACCAUGUUAGUCUUACAAUACAGAAUUCUAGCUUUCACUAGAGUCUGAUAUUUUUCAUGAAUAAUUGAACCUCCUACUUCUGCCUAUAGAAUGAGGCCUUACAUUGCAGACCUUACACCAAGUACAAGACCUUUUCCCCCAAGCCCCAUUUGCAAGAGAUGAUCUCAUUUACUUACAACUCACUGUUUCAAACAAAACUCUGGAAUAAUGCAGUGGAAGUUGUUCAGUCCAGCCUGACACACACAACUGUGUACAGGCAGGUCCAUAAGUAUUUGGACCCUGACACAAGUUUCAUAAUGUUGCCUCUGUACACCAGCACAACGGAUUUGAAAUGAAAUCGAGAAUCCAUCCAUUUUCACAGGCUCAAAAGUAAUUGGACAAUUGACUGAUAAGCAGUUUUAUGUUUCCCUCCUGUUAUUUCGUGACAAAUUAAUGAGAUAAAAGGUCUUGAGUUGUUUCCAAGCAUUGGACUUGGUAUCUUCAUGAAAACAUGUUGAAACUUCAUGAGAACUUUCAACAUGCGGUCCAAAGAGGUGUUGAUGGAAGUGAAGGAGGCCAUCAUUAGGCUGAAAAAAAAAACAAAACAGACAGAGAGACAGGAGAAACUUAUUAUUAAGUCUGAGAUCACAAGCUCAUCAUCCAAAAUGCAGAUUAAUUGAAAAUGAUAUGAGAAAUGAAUUAAUUGAAAGAAUGAGAAACUUUUUUCGAAGGUCAUCUCCCAACAUAGGACAGCAAAUCCCUUUGGACAAGACUAAGACCAAUCUGGAUUUCAAAGCUAGGGUUUUCAUCUUAAAAACUGCGGACCCCUUGCUCGUCACGGUUUGUUGAUUUUACCUGCUCCCAAGGCACCCAAUCUUACUGACAGAGAAGACAAUUACUUGGAAAGAGGAGUAAAGGACGAUGACUACAUCAAGCUGGAGCAAGCAUCCCUGAAUAGAGAGGGAGGAUCAGACCACCACUUAUCUGUUUACAAGGAAGUCCUAACGUAUAUUUACUCUGGCUUGUUUAUCACACCUGCAGACAGUCAUGUGAUUUUAAGUUUAAUGACAACCUUAGUCACCUACCAAGGAUUAAACAUCAAUGCAUUUUCCCAGCAUUCAGUAUAAUGUAUUCAGAAUAACCGUUAUUUUUGGUUUUUAAUACAUUUUAUGUACACUCCAGACAGCUCUGAAUUUACCUAUUAAACUAUAGCCCAUGCCCGCACAUCUUUUCACCCUCUCACACACUUCUCUGAAUUAUACCCAUGUCUCCCCCCCGCCCUUUUUUUUCCUUUUCCUGACUAUUACAGACGUCUCUGUCCCAUCAAAGAACCCCAUUUCCCCAGAAAGUUGAAAAAGAUGAAAGGAUAAGAACAAGAAAAGGGGACAAAAGAGAGAGGGCUUGAGUUACAAGCCUGCCCCGGUGAGAGUGUCCAUGAAAGAGUUUGGGCAUGGGAGAGAUGGACGAGACAGAGAAUGACAGAAAGACUUUCAGAGAUAGGCGAGACAGAAUGAAAGGAAGAGUGCUUCUGAGUCAGACUGGUAUCGACACAGACACACAAACACAGAAACUUUCAUCAGCUUUCAUGGAUAUAGCCUGAAAAUACAUUCUCUUAACACACCCGGUGAAGAAAGAGGUCCUCCUCGUGAGCUUUCCCUUCCUCCCUGUGGUAUUCCUCCCUGUUGGCAUUUGGUUUGUCGUUCCCUCGUAAUCUCCGUCUCCCUCCCACCGUUCUGCAUCUCCGGCUGUGUCUCAACUUGCCUCAUGUGCACUUAGAUAUUUCAGCCCCAGGGUCUAUUGCUCAGAUAAAGGGAGAGUGCGAGAAGAGCGAGAGAAAUUUUUUUUCAUCAAGCUGUUGCGGGAUAUGCUCACGCAGGGCGACAAAAGUUAAUUUCACACACUCGUUUUCACAUACUCGUGCUCCAAUGCAAACACUCAGAAAUGAAUACAGACUCAUACCCUGACUCAUACACCGGCUCUCGCUCGGUCAUUUGCUCCAUUGCUCACAAACUGUUCCAUGUUUCUUUAACGUUCCAUUCACAAGAAACCCAAAGGCUUUGUCGUGUCUCUGAACCAGCAAUUCCCGUUUACUCAAGGAGCAUUUUUACACCCUAAACCUCAAGUGCAUACUCAGGGCACUCCUCUUGAACACACACACACACACACACACACACACACACACACACACACACACACACACACACACACACACACACACACACACACACACACACACACACACCUGAAAGUGACAAAAGAGCGGAUAUUUACAACCAGAGCUGGUUCUUCUGUUUCAGCUUCCAGAUGAAUAAUUGACUCCGUUUCAAGCACAUAAUGUAAUGCAUGUACACAAUAGAAAAUGAAACUCCCAAGUGUGCAAAAUUAGGCAGUGAGGAAAUAAAUCUGACCCACGUAAAGCUUUACUUCCUCCAGUGUUUUUUUUUUCUUCCCUGUAAUGAAGCUUUAUGAAUGUAACCAAGUCAGGUUUAUUUCCCCAGACAUGGAAAUCCC